ACACACACACACACACACAAAGCACAGGACAUGCACUGAUUAGAAACUUAGCAACACUCUGCAUGAACAGUGUUGAAAGCAAGGUCACAUAUAUACAACCAACCUGAUAACAUUGUGAGCAUAAAUCAUCACAAAUGCAGAAUUAAAAGGAGAUUUCACAUAGAUUCCUGAUCAUCACCAUCUUUCUCUCUGAAGAAGCUUCCCACUGAAGUGACUACCAUGUCCCCACAAAAAUGGUAGGCAUAUCCUUUGACUGCAGAAAAGUGCAAAGCCUGGGCGAGUGCCCACCAGUCAUAUCUUACCUUUAAUCAAGUGCACUUGUGCUCAUUGACGAAGCUUAGAUACUGUGUUUCACUGCCAUAUUUACUCAUAAUACAUAAUCUGGAUUAUUUCUGCUCACUUUAUUGCUCUGUUGAACUUUCUACUUAUAGAAGUUCCUGUUUAAAUAAGGAACAAACAGUCCAGAGCCCAUAUGCUGUAACUUGCUGCAUCUCUCCCUCUCUGCUGCCUAGGUUUUCUGGCUCUUCUCACAGAGGACUGGUUCACGUGUUACACUCAGUGGAGUGUCACCUUUUAAUUUGUGAGGGCUCUCCAUUCACGUGAGUUGUGUAGUAAGAGCUCACAGCUCAUGAGUUUCAGACACAGUAAAGUCUGCGAUUUUGGAUACUAUCUGGAAAUCAUGAAAAAUGACACGGCUGAGACUCAUUCAUCUAUCAACUCACAUAUUACUUUGCUCAUGCAAAUGAAAAAUUCAUGUGCAUAAAAAAGUGUGUGUGUGCACACACACACGCACACAGAGGCACGUUUGGCAAAAGACAGUUGCAACUAAUGCCACAAUGAGACUUGACUUAUUUUGAAGACAAAAACAAUGAAAGGUUUCCCAGGAUGGCAUCUGCACAACACAAUAAAAAACCAAUAAUGU